rnacentral:rRNA from 1 species
UUCCGGUUGAUCCCGCCGCCGGCCACUGCUAUCAGGUUUCGGCUAAGCCAUGCGAGUCUAGGGAUCGCAAGAUACCGGCAUACUGCUCAGUAACACGCGGAUAAUCUGCCCCCAGGUGAAGAAUACCCUCGGGAAACUGAGGCUAAUACUUCAUAAUCACUAUAUGCUGGAAUGCUUUGGUGAUGAAAGAAUUUCGCCUGAGGAUGAGUCUGCGGCCUAUCAGGUCGUAUGUGGUGUAAUGGACCACAUAGCCUAAGACGGGUACGGGCCUUGAAAGAGGGAGCCCGGAGAUGGACUCUGAGACAUUAGUCCAGGCCCUACGGGGCGCAGCAGGCGCGAAAACUGUGCAAUGCGCGAAAGCGCGACACGGGAAGCCUGAGUGCCUUAACACAGUUAAGGCUUUUCUCAAGCCUAAAAAGCUUGAGGAAUAAGAGCUGGGUAAGACGGGUGCCAGCCGCCGCGGUAACACCCGCAGCUCGAGUGGUGGUCACUUUUAUUGAGCCUAAAGCGUUUGUAGCCGGAUCCGUAAAUCUCCAGGAAAAUUCCUUCGCUCAACGAAGGACCUUCUGGAGAGACUGCGGAUCUAGGGACCGGGUGAGGUUGAAUGUACUUCUGGGGUAGGGGUAAAAUCCUGUAAUCCUGGAAGGACGACCGGUGGCGAAGGCGUUCAACUAGAACGGAUCGGACGGUGAGGAACGAGGGCUAGGGGAGCAAACCGGAUUAGAUACCCGGGUAGUCCUAGCUGUAAACACUGCCCACUUGAUGUUGCAUCUCCGUGUAGGGGGUGCAGUGUCGUAGCGAAGGUGUUAAGUGGGCCGCUUGGGGAGUAUGGUCGCAAGGCUGAAACUUAAAGGAAUUGGCGGGGGAGCACCGCAACGGGAGGAGCGUGCGGUUUAAUUGGAUUCAACGCCGGAA